AACUUUUGGAAAUGGAUCUCUUGGCUCUCGCAUCGAUGAAGAACGCAGCGAAAUGCGAUAAGGAAUGUGAAUUGCCGAAUUCAGUGAAUCAUCGAAUCUUUGAACGCACCUUGCGCCCUUUGGCUAUUCUGAAGGGCAUGCCUGUUUGAGUAUCGUGAACACCUCAACUCCUCAUGGAUUGCCAUGAUGAGCUUGGACUUUGGGGGUCUUGCUGGCCUAUGGUCAGCUCCUCUAAAAUGGAUCAGCUUGCCAGUGUUUGGUGGCAUCACAGGUGUGAUAAAUAUCUACACUCGUGGUUUUCCACCAUGUAACCUUCAGCAAUGAAGGUUCGCUGGAGCUCACAAAUGUCCCUCCUCUGUGGGGACAGCUUUUGAACGUUUGAUCUCAAAUCAGGUAGGAUUACCCGCUGAACUUAAGCAUAUCAAUAAGCGGAGGC
rnacentral:misc_RNA from 1 species